rnacentral:rRNA from 1 species
CGGCGUGCUUACACAUGCAGUCGAACGAUGAACCGCUUUCGGGCGGGGAUUAGUGGCGAACGGGUGAGUAACACGUGGGCAAUCUGCCCUGCACUCUGGGACAAGCCCUGGAAACGGGGUCUAAUACCGGAUAUGACUGUCCAUCGCAUGGUGGAUGGUGUAAAGCUCCGGCGGUGCAGGAUGAGCCCGCGGCCUAUCAGCUUGUUGGUGAGGUAGUGGCUCACCAAGGCGACGACGGGUAGCCGGCCUGAGAGGGCGACCGGCCACACUGGGACUGAGACACGGCCCAGACUCCUACGGGAGGCAGCAGUGGGGAAUAUUGCACAAUGGGCGAAAGCCUGAUGCAGCGACGCCGCGUGAGGGAUGACGGCCUUCGGGUUGUAAACCUCUUUCAGCAGGGAAGAAGCGAAAGUGACGGUACCUGCAGAAGAAGCGCCGGCUAACUACGUGCCAGCAGCCGCGGUAAUACGUAGGGCGCAAGCGUUGUCCGGAAUUAUUGGGCGUAAAGAGCUCGUAGGCGGCUUGUCACGUCGGUUGUGAAAGCCCGGGGCUUAACCCCGGGUCUGCAGUCGAUACGGGCAGGCUAGAGUUCGGUAGGGGAGAUCGGAAUUCCUGGUGUAGCGGUGAAAUGCGCAGAUAUCAGGAGGAACACCGGUGGCGAAGGCGGAUCUCUGGGCCGAUACUGACGCUGAGGAGCGAAAGCGUGGGGAGCGAACAGGAUUAGAUACCCUGGUAGUCCACGCCGUAAACGGU